rnacentral:rRNA from 1 species
GACUAACGCUGGCGGCGUGCCUAACACAUGCAAGUCGAACGAAGCAGCAAUGCUUAGUGGCAGACGGGUGAGUAACGCGUAGAUAAUGUGCCCUCUUGCGGGGGAUACCGUUUCGAAAGGAACGUUAAUACCGCAUAAAGUCCUUGGGAGGCAUCUCCUAGGGACCAAACUUCCGGGGCGGGAGGAGCAAUCUGCGUACUAUCAGGUAGUUGGUGAGGUAACGGCUCACCAAGCCUACGACGGUUAACUGGUCUGAGAGGAUGAUCAGUCACACUGGAACUGAGACACGGUCCAGACUCCUACGGGAGGCAGCAGUGAGGAAUAUUGCACAAUGGGCGAAAGCCUGAUGCAGCGACGCCGCGUGGAGGAUGAAGGAUUUCGGUCUGUAAACUCCUGUCAGUAGGGAAGAGAAUGGACGGUACCUACUGAGGAAGCUUCGGCUAACUACGUGCCAGCAGCCGCGGUAA